CGUUGGAAGAUUGAAAGGGGCUGCUCCUAGUACGAGAGGACCGGAGUGGACGCACCACUGGUGUUCGGGUUGUCAUGCCAAUGGCAUUGCCCGGUAGCUAAGUGCGGAAGAGAUAACCGCUGAAAGCAUCUAAGCGGGAAACUUGCCUUGAGAUGAGUCUUCCCUGACCCUUAAAGGGUCCUAAAGGAACGUUUAAGACUAAGACGUUGAUAGGUUGGGUGUGUAAGCGUAGCGAUACGUUGAGCUAACCAAUACUAAUGAACCGU
rnacentral:ncRNA from 1 species